rnacentral:lncRNA from 1 species
CGCGACAUGUGUGAAGAUCUCCACUGAUGCAUCCAUCAAGGAGAUGAUCCCCCCGGGUGCUCUUGUCAUGCUCACACCCCUUAUUGUGGGGACCUUCUUUGGCGUCGAGACCCUCUCUGGAGUCCUUGCCGGUGCUCUAGUUUCUGGUGUUCAGGUUGGAACAUUCUUUUUUUUUGGGACUAACACUUAACGUUGUAUUUACGUACCAUAUUUCAUUCACAGUUAUGUAGAUGUUCCCUUCGUAACUAUGUUGUUUUUAUUCAGAUCGCCAUUUCAGCAUCAAACACUGGUGGUGCCUGGGACAACGCCAAGAAGUAUAUUGAGGUAAAAAUCCUAUGGCUGCAGUAACACAAUUUAGUCAGGUGGUUUCUUUUACCUCUUUGUUUGCCAAACAUUUUAACCCUGGUUUUCCUUGGUUUUAGGCUGGCGCAUCUGAGCAUGCAAGAACCCUGGGCCCUAAAGGCUCAGAUUGCCACAAGGCUGCUGUGAUUGGUGACACCAUUGGGGAUCCCCUCAAGGACACCUCAGGCCCCUCGCUCAACAUCCUCAUUAAGCUCAUGGCGGUCGAGUCCCUCGUGUUCGCUCCCUUCUUCGCCACCUAUGGAGGCAUUCUCUUCAAAU